UGGGGAAUUUUGGACAAUGGGGGCAACCCUGAUCCAGCCAUCCCGCGUGUGCGAUGAAGGCCUUCGGGUUGUAAAGCACUUUUGGCAGGGAAGAAACAGCCUGGGAUAAUACCCCGGGCGACUGACGGUACCUGCAGAAUAAGCACCGGCUAACUACGUGCCAGCAGCCGCGGUAAUACGUAGGGUGCAAGCGUUAAUCGGAAUUACUGGGCGUAAAGCGUGCGCAGGCGGUUCGGAAAGAAAGGUGUGAAAUCCCAGGGCUUAACCUUGGAACUGCACUUUUAACUACCGAGCUAGAGUACGUCAGAGGGGGGUAGAAUUCCACGUGUAGCGGUGAAAUGCGUAGAGAUGUGGAGGAAUACCGAUGGCGAAGGCAGCCCCCUGGG
rnacentral:rRNA from 1 species